GGAUGCGAUCAUACUAGCACUAAUGCAGCGGAUCCCAUUAACACUCUACAAUUAAGCGAGCUUGAGUGAGGGUAGUAUUAGGAUGGGUGACCUCCUAGGAAGUCCUCGUGCUGUAUCCU
rfam:Gossypium raimondii chromosome 6, whole genome shotgun sequence.